AUCUGAUAAGAUUGACUUCUGAAAGAUCCCCAAAGGGAGAUCCUCACUCAAGCCUCGGGAUGUGGCGCGGACCCAAGAGAGACGCGGAGACCG
rnacentral:pre_miRNA from 7 species